CUACGGGAGGCAGCAGUAGGGAAUCUUCCGCAAUGGACGAAAGUCUGACGGAGCAACGCCGCGUGAGUGAUGAAGGUUUUCGGAUCGUAAAGCUCUGUUGUUAGGGAAGAACAAGUGCCGUUCAAAUAGGGCGGCACCUUGACGGUACCUAACCAGAAAGCCACGGCUAACUACGUGCCAGCAGCCGCGGUAAUACGUAGGUGGCAAGCGUUGUCCGGAAUUAUUGGGCGUAAAGGGCUCGCAGGCGGUUUCUUAAGUCUGAUGUGAAAGCCCCCGGCUCAACCGGGGAGGGUCAUUGGAAACUGGGGAACUUGAGUGCAGAAGAGGAGAGUGGAAUUCCACGUGUAGCGGUGAAAUGCGUAGAGAUGUGGAGGAACACCAGUGGCGAAGGCGACUCUCUGGUCUGUAACUGACGCUGAGGAGCGAAAGCGUGGGGAGCGAACAGGAUUAGAUACCCUGGUAGUCCACGCCGUAAACGAUGAGUGCUAAGUGUUAGGGGGUUUCCGCCCCUUAGUGCUGCAGCUAACGCAUUAAGCACUCCGCCUGGGGAGUACGGUCGCAAGACUGAAACUCAAAGGAAUUGACGGGGGCCCGCACAAGCGGUGGAGCAUGUGGUUUAAUUCGAAGCAACGCGAAGAACCUUACCAGGUCUUGACAUCCUCUGACAAUCCUAGAGAUAGGACGUCCCCUUCGGGGGCAGAGUGACAGGUGGUGCAUGGUUGUCGUCAGCUCGUGUCGUGAGAUGUUGGGUUAAGUCCCGCAACGAGCGCAACCCUUGAUCUUAGUUGCCAGCAUUCAGUUGGGCACUCUAAGGUGACUGCCGGUGACAAACCGGAGGAAGGUGGGGAUGACGUCAAAUCA
rnacentral:rRNA from 1 species